rnacentral:rRNA from 44 species
GUUGACCUCGGAUCAGGUAGGGAUACCCGCUGAACUUAAGCAUAUCAAUA